AUGCCUUAAACUGAUGAGUAAGGAAAAUAACGACGCGGGGUGACGCCCGCGUUCUCGUCAAUUUACGAGAUGAAUUUUUGAAGGGGUAUAGGUCUGCUUGCUGAGGUGACUUGCCUACUUUGCGAGAUGCCUCGCGGGACUAGGACCUACCCU